ensembl:lncRNA
CGACAGAACACAGCAGACAAAUAAAUGCAAUUUAUUUACAACACUGUUUACAGAAUAUACACAAGGAAAUGACAACAAGGCUAGGGGAAGUGACAACUGCUAGAGGGCAGAUAGGGACAGACUACACUCGAGAGAGACGACUACUGGUGGGAGGGUGAAUUACAAGAUACAAGAAUUACCAUAAACACUCAGGAAUAUAAACUAAACUACACAAUCAGACUUGCAAGAUUAACCAUUUAGAAAAGCCAACCCAAAUUUCGUAGCACCAAGCCAGGAAAGCAGAAGAGGCAAGAGAGGCUGAGGGAAUGUAUACGGAGUGUGGCAAGUGGAGUGGCAGAUGCAGCGUUGCAGCUGGAAUGACGCUGGCUGGCCUGAUGUGGGUUUCAGCAUGGUGAUCCAACAGAGCCAAGGUGAAUGGCAUGAGAAUGGUGAUCCAUGCAGCUGGCAGGUUGGUCUGGCAAGUGGAGCAGGCUGGGAUAGCCAUAAACUGAACACAGAGAAGCAAGUUUGGACCUCCACCUGCUUUCCACCACCCUCCGGAACCUCCGUCUGUCUGUUCCCAUUUGUGUCAUCUGGAUCAUCAAGACUUUCACUACUCCCUGGCUAUCUGCACCUGUCGCCAUUCCUGCCACAUGCCACCUCUGCCUGCCUUCCCCACUCUGUUUUCUGUCAGUCCUCAUUUAAGUUCCCGGCUUGACCGCUGCAUCCAGUUCAGUCAGUUUGUUUAGCGUAACUCUGGGUUUAGUCUGUUUUUGUAGCUUAGCCAUCUGUUUAGGUUUGCGUUCUCGGCGUUUACUCUGCCACCCAUUUUGUAUUUAGGAAGUAUUUUCCGAGCAUUUGAUCUCUGUCUAGUUUAGCCGUUUUGGCUUCCAGUCCUGUCUUUAGCUUCAGAGUUAUUCCUUGACUAGCUUUCCUGUCCCUAGUCAUACCUGGUGUAGGUUAGUAGAAUUCAUGUUUUUACUAGCAGUUUGGCCUUAGUAAUUCUGUUUACCCCUAGAGGUCCCCCUUGUUUACUGAAUCCUGUGCCUGAUUCUGCAUUACUGUUUCUGUGAAUCGUUGUAAAUGAGUCAUUGUAAAUAUCAACUUGCCUGUUGUAUCUUCGUUGCCUGCACUUAGGUCUCUGCUCAGCCACAUAAAGUGAAUAAAAUAUUCAUUGGCUUAGAAACAAGGAAUACCGCUUUAUUUAAUAUUGUUUCAAUGAAUACAUACAUG